AUUUAUAUUUAUAUUCUGUUGAUGUGUUUUUAAUGAUAAAUCAAACAAAAUUAUUAGUUUUUUAUUUCUGUAUUUUAAUUAAGUAACGAAUAUUAAUUUGUUUGAACAGUUAAGGUUAUAUACGAAAGACUAUUGGAAAAUUAUGCUUACGUCUAGAAAACAUCAUAAUUAUAUCAAAGUAGUAAGUGCGGAAAUAUAAAGUACUAUGGCCAUGUUUCAAUGAAAAUUACAUUGAAACGGAGAUGUCUUCCUCAAAAAUGAUAUCUAUGGUGUAACAAUCUUAGGAGGAAGAAUCGAUCUGUAACCACAUAACAGCAUACACUAUUAUCGAUCAAAGAUACGUAAACAGCCUGUAGUAUAGUCGCGCACACGCUGUGACCAGGCCACUUAGCGUAUGUUUGUUUAGUACCUUUUACGACUAUAUCGUCUGGGCAUGUGUUAGGUUACGAAGGAGCCAGUGUCUAGUGUCUAGCUGAGGGUUGGAUGGCACGGCGCCAUACUUCGAGAGGGUCAUUUAUAACUGUUAUCGUGAGACUUACUAGGCCACUUACUACCUCCACUGUGUCUAUUCUUCACCCCUCUUCUAUUUUACAGAAAGAAACUUAAUUUUCUAUAAAUAAUCUAUUCCUUCCUUGAUGGACGAUCAAUGACUUCAUAGUUGAGAAACUAUAGGAAAGUAGAGAAGAUUAUGUAAAAUAUAUAAUUGUUGUCGGGCCAAUUACAAACCUGUUUUCAUUAGCUUUAGAACUUGUAACUGUAAUAAUUGUGCACACGAUCCUAAUCCUUUGUUCUCGCAAAGCAACUUUGAGUGGUGAACUGACUGAACUUUGGACACAUAAUGCUUACAGUUGGUAAUAUGCUAGCAUUACAUAAACCUACGUGAUAACUAUGCGUAGGUAAAUUUUCAUCUUUAAUAUUGCCAAGUAUAAUUUCUGUCACAAUAUAAAUGUAAGUAUAUUUUCAACUUACAUUUACCAUAGAAAUAUAUUAAUUUUAACAAAUGACAUUUAAUUUUAAAUAGUAUACGAGUUGUUUGGCAAAUUACAUAGACAGCGAGGAUAAAACUGAUAACAUCUAUUGAAAUUCUUCAUAUUUAUCGAACACGCAGAAUAGUCGAUAUCACUUUUGUGGUUAUUCUUCAGAUUAUACAGCAUUUUAUUUAUUACAAUACGUGAAACGAGAAAGUGUCGCGACAUUGGUGUUACAACUGACAGUUGGUCGGGGACAUUUCUCAUCGCUUUUUUGUCUGUCGCUCAGGGACGUAGCACUUAAUUCUAAUAUGGAAAUAUGUCGUGCACUCCGCAAGCCGACGAUUAAUGCGAAUAAAUCGAUUUUUGGCGUAGAGGUACGACGGUUGCCGCCAAAUCCUGGAAGCUACGCCAAGUGGCGGAAACACGAGAAUUCCAUCUGGAUUUACUAAGAUCAGUGCCAUUUAAUGUGGGGCUCGAUAAAUCCCUUAAAAGCUGGUGGUCCGCAAGAAGACGGCGCAUUACAAUUUUCCAGAAAGGAGAAUGGCGAACGUCUAGAGAAGACGCAGACAAAUCUGCAAAUGCAAGGCUUCAGGUGCCAAAUGCUUUCAUCGUAUAACGAAUCCAUAAUUAAUGAAUAUUAUAUAAUAUUUAAAUUUUCGCGCGGUUUGAGUGAAUAAGGAACUAUAUCACGCUAGCCAAUUAGAAGCGUUCUAGGCGUAAAAGCGCGGGAACCUGUGGCGCGAGACGUCAUUGUAGUGUCGAAAAUUAUCGUGACAGGACGUGUCAUCGUUCGAGUGCGAAAUUUUAACUGCGCAAUUAUCGUCCUGUGAAUUGUGAAUUGUGUUCUUAUUGUGACUUGUGAAGGAAGCACUCGUAUCUCACGACAAUUUAUAGCCAUAUUAUGACAUAUCAGAUAUUACUUCAGAUAUACUCGCCAGAAAUCAUCUUAAAUAAAUACGACAAAGAUUUGGAUUCCAUCUGAAAUGAAAAGAAAUGGUUAGAAGUCAGAUGCAAUAGUAACUUUGGAAGAGAAUAGCGGAAGGCGAAGAAAUGUGCCUAAUUGUUUUCUUCCCAUCUAUUCAUCUUCUCUUUCAUCACGCCAGAAGCUAUUGUAUAUUGCAAAAACGGGGCAAGAUGUGUAUCCAUCUUCGCGGAUUCAUCAUAAUGGGUGAGUUUCAGAGACAAUUUAUUAAUAUUUAUUUGAU
rnacentral:lncRNA from 1 species